GCCUUCGUGGUGUAAUAGUUAACACAUUUGGCGCGUAUUCGAGAGGUCCAGGUUCGAGUCCCGGCAAAAGCA
rnacentral:tRNA from 1 species